rnacentral:rRNA from 1 species
UACGUAGGUGGCAAGCGUUGUCCGGAUUUACUGGGCGUAAAGAGCGCGCAGGCGGUCGUUCAAGUCGCGUGUGAAAGCCCCCGGCUCAACUGGGGAGGGUCACGCGAUACUGAUCGACUCGAAGGCAGGAGAGGGUAGUGGAAUUCCCGGUGUAGUGGUGAAAUGCGUAGAUAUCUGGAGGAACACCGGUGGCGAAGGCGGCAUCCUGGACCGAUAUUGACGCUCAUGCACGAAAGCGUGGGGAGCAAACAGG